rnacentral:rRNA from 1 species
GAGCGAACAGACGAGGAGCUUGCUCCUCUGACGUUAGCGGCGGACGGGUGAGUAACACGUGGAUAACCUACCUAUAAGACUGGGAUAACUUCGGGAAACCGGAGCUAAUACCGGAUAAUAUAUUGAACCGCAUGGUUCAAUAGUGAAAGACGGUUUUGCUAUCACUUAUAGAUGGACCCGCGCCGUAUUAGCUAGUUGGUAAAGUAACGGCUUACCAAGGCAACGAUACGUAGCCGACCUGAGAGGGUGAUCGGCCACACUGGAACUGAGACACGGUCCAGACUCCUACGGGAGGCAGCAGUAGGGAAUCUUCCGCAAUGGGCGAAAGCCUGACGGAGCAACGCCGCGUGAGUGAUGAAGGGUUUCGGCUCGUAAAACUCUGUUAUUAGGGAAGAACAAACGUGUAAGUAACUGUGCACGUCUUGACGGUACCUAAUCAGAAAGCCACGGCUAACUACGUGCCAGCAGCCGCGGUAAUACGUAGGUGGCAAGCGUUAUCCGGAAUUAUUGGGCGUAAAGCGCGCGUAGGCGGUUUUUUAAGUCUGAUGUGAAAGCCCACGGCUCAACCGUGGAGGGUCAUUGGAAACUGAAAAACUUGAGUGCAGAAGAGGAAAGUGGAAUUCCAUGUGUAGCGGUGAAAUGCGCAGAGAUAUGGAGGAACACCAGUGGCGAAGGCGACUUUCUGGUCUGUAACUGACGCUGAUGUGCGAAAGCGUGGGGAUCAAACAGGAUUA